AGAGUUUGAUUCUGGCUCAGGAUGAACGCUAGCGGCAGGCCUAAUACAUGCAAGUCGAGGGGCAGCAGGGGUAGCAAUACUCGCUGGCGACCGGCGCACGGGUGCGUAACACGUAUGCAACUUUCCUUCAACUGGAAGAUAGCCCGAAGAAAUUCGGAUUAAUAUUCCAUAGUUAUAUGAAAUGGCAUCAUUUUAUAUUUAAAGCUCAGGCGGUUGAAGAUGGGCAUGCGUUCGAUUAGCUAGUUGGUGAGGUAAUGGCUCACCAAGGCUACGAUCGAUAGGGGAUCUGAGAGGAUUAACCCCCACACUGGUACUGAGACACGGACCAGACUCCUACGGGAGGCAGCAGUAAGGAAUAUUGGACAAUGGAGGCAACUCUGAUCCAGCCAUGCCGCGUGAAGGAUGAAGGUCCUAUGGAUUGUAAACUUCUUUUGAACGGGAGAAAACCUUCGGUCGUGUACCGAAGCUGAUAGUACCGUUAGAAUAAGGGUCGGCUAACUUCGUGCCAGCAGCCGCGGUAAUACGAAGGACCCGAGCGUUAUCCGGAUUUAUUGGGUUUAAAGGGUGCGUAGGCGGAAUGGUAAGUCAGUGGUGAAAUCUUGUGGCUUAACUGCAAAACUGCCAUUGAUACUGCCAAUCUUGAGUACAUUUGAUGUGGGCGGAAUGUGCCAUGUAGUGGUGAAAUACUUAGAUAUGGCACAGAACACCGAUCGCGAAGGCAGCUCACAAAACUGUUACUGACGCUGAGGCACGAAAGCGUGGGGAUCAAACAGGAUUAGAUACCCUGGUAGUCCACGCCUUAAACUAUGAUUACUCGAUGUGUGCGAUACACAGUACGCGUCUAAGCGAAAGCGUUAAGUAAUCCACCUGGGGAGUACGGUCGCAAGAUUGAAACUCAAAGAAAUUGACGGGGGCCCGCACAAGCGGAGGAGCAUGUGGUUUACUUCGAUGGUACGCGAGGAACCUUACCUGGGCUUGAAAGUUAGUGAAUGCUGUGGAAACAUGGCAGGCCGCAAGGACACGAAACUAGGUGCUGCAUGGCUGUCGUCAGCUCGUGCCGUGAGGUGUUGGGUUAAGUCCCGCAACGAGCGCAACCCCUAUCUUUAGUUGCCAGCGAGUAAUGUCGGGGACUCUAAAGAAACUGCCCGUGCAAACGGUGAGGAAGGUGGGGAUGACGUCAAGUCAGCACGGCCCUUACGUCCAGGCUACACACGUGCUACAAUGGCGAGUACAAAGUGCAGCUACAUGGUGACAUGAUGCUAAUCUCUAAAACUCGUCUCAGUUCGGAUUGAAGUCUGCAAUUCGACUUCAUGAAGCUGGAUUCGCUAGUAAUCGAAUAUCAGCAAUGAUUCGGUGAAUACGUUCCCGGGCCUUGUACACACCGCCCGUCAAACAAUGGAAGCUGAGGGUACUUAAAGUCGAUAACCGCAAGGAGUCACCUAGGGUAAAAUCGGUAACUGGUGUUAAGUCGAAACAAGGUA
rnacentral:rRNA from 1 species